ACAGGCCCGCCCCGGGGCCUGGGCCAACUGAAACCGCGGGAGGAGGAAGCGCGGAAUCAGGAACUGGCCGGGGUCGGCACCGGGCCUGAGUCGGUCCGAGGCCGCCCCAGGAGCAGCUGCCCGCGUGGGACAGCACUAUGGGCUUCUCUUCGGAGCUGUGCACCCCCCAGGGCCACGGGGUCCUGCAGCAGAUGCAGGAGGCUGAGCUUCGUCUACUGGAGGGCAUGAGAAAGUGGAUGGCCCAACGGGUCAAGAGUGACAGGGAGUAUGCAGGACUGCUUCACCACAUGUCAGUGCAGGACAGUGGGGGCCAGAGCCGGGGCAUCAGCCCCGACAGCCCCAUCAGCCAGUCCUGGGCGGAGAUCACCAGCCAAACUGAGGGCCUGAGCCGGUUGCUGCGGCAGCACGCGGAGGAUCUGAACUCAGGGCCCCUGAGCAAGUUGAGCCUGCUCAUCCGGGAACGGCAGCAGCUUCGCAAGACCUACAGCGAGCAGUGGCAGCAGCUGCAGCAGGAGCUCACCAAGACUCACAGCCAGGACAUUGAGAAGCUGAAGAGCCAGUACCGAGCCCUGGCACGGGACAGUGCCCAAGCCAAGCGCAAGUACCAGGAGGCCAGCAAAGACAAGGACCGUGACAAGGCCAAGGACAAGUAUGUGCGCAGCCUGUGGAAGCUCUUUGCUCACCACAACCGCUAUGUGCUGGGCGUGCGGGCUGCACAGCUACACCACCAGCACCACCACCAGCUCCUGCUGCCCGGCCUGCUGCGGUCACUGCAGGACCUGCACGAGGAGAUGGCUUGCAUCCUGAAGGAGAUCCUGCAGGAAUACUUGGAGAUUAGCAGCCUGGUGCAGGAUGAGGUGGUGGCCAUUCACCGGGAGAUGGCUGCAGCUGCUGCCCGCAUCCAGCCUGAGGCUGAGUACCAAGGCUUCCUUCGACAGUAUGGGUCCGCACCUGACGUCCCACCCUGCGUCACAUUCGAUGAGUCACUGCUUGAGGAGGGUGAACCGCUGGAGCCUGGGGAGCUCCAGCUGAACGAGCUGACUGUGGAGAGCGUGCAGCACACGCUGACCUCAGUGACAGAUGAGCUGGCUGUGGCCACCGAGAUGGUGUUCAGGCGGCAGGAGAUGGUUACACAGCUGCAACAGGAGCUCCGGAAUGAAGAGGAGAACACCCACCCCCGGGGGCGGGUGCAGCUGCUGGGCAAGAGGCAGGCGCUGCAGGAAGCACUGCAGGGGCUGCAGGUAGCACGGUGCAGCCAGGCCAAGCUGCAGGCCCAGCAGGAGUUGCUGCAGACCAAGCUGGAGCAGCUGGGCCCCGGCGAGCCCCCGCCCGUGCUGCUCCUGCAGGAUGACCGCCACUCCACAUCGUCCUCGGAGCAGGAGCGAGAGGGGGGAAGGACGCCCACGCUGGAGAUCCUUAAGAGCCACAUCUCAGGAAUCUUCCGCCCCAAGUUCUCGCUCCCUCCACCGCUGCAGCUUGUUCCGGAGGUGCAGAAGCCCCUGCAUGAGCAGCUGUGGUACCACGGGGCCAUCCCAAGGGCAGAGGUGGCUGAGCUGCUGGUGCACUCUGGGGACUUCCUGGUGCGGGAGAGCCAGGGCAAGCAGGAGUACGUGCUGUCAGUGCUGUGGGAUGGUCUGCCCCGGCACUUCAUCAUCCAGUCCUUGGACAACCUGUACCGACUGGAAGGGGAAGGCUUUCCCAGCAUUCCCUUGCUCAUCGACCACCUACUGAGCACCCAGCAGCCCCUCACCAAGAAGAGCGGUGUCGUCCUGCACAGGGCUGUGCCCAAGGACAAGUGGGUGCUGAACCAUGAGGACCUGGUGUUGGGCGAGCAGAUUGGACGGGGGAACUUUGGCGAAGUGUUCAGCGGACGCCUGCGAGCCGACAACACCUUGGUGGCAGUGAAGUCUUGUCGAGAGACGCUCCCACCUGACAUCAAGGCCAAAUUUCUACAGGAAGCGAGGAUCCUGAAGCAGUACAGCCACCCCAACAUCGUGCGUCUCAUUGGUGUCUGUACCCAGAAGCAGCCCAUCUACAUCGUCAUGGAGCUUGUGCAGGGGGGCGACUUCCUGACCUUCCUCCGCACGGAGGGGGCCCGCCUGCGGGUGAAGACUCUGCUGCAGAUGGUGGGGGAUGCAGCUGCUGGCAUGGAGUACCUGGAGAGCAAGUGCUGCAUCCACCGAGUGUUCAGCCAGGGCUGGGCAGGCAACUAUUGGCCAAAUGAGCCCCUGCCCUGUCUCACCCAGGGACCUGGCUGCUCGGAACUGUCUGGUGACAGAGAAGAAUGUCCUGAAGAUCAGUGACUUUGGGAUGUCCCGAGAGGAAGCUGAUGGGGUCUACGCGGCCUCAGGGGGCCUCAGACAAGUCCCCGUGAAGUGGACCGCACCUGAGGCCCUUAACUACGGCCGCUACUCCUCUGAGAGCGACGUGUGGAGCUUUGGCAUCUUGCUCUGGGAGACCUUCAGCCUGGGGGCCUCCCCCUAUCCCAACCUUAGCAAUCAGCAGACACGGGAGUUCGUGGAGAAGGGGGGCCGCCUGCCCUGCCCAGAGCUGUGUCCUGAUGCCGUGUUCAGGCUCAUGGAGCAGUGCUGGGCCUAUGAGCCUGGGCAGCGGCCCAGCUUCAGCACCAUCUACCAGGAGCUGCAGAGCAUCCGAAAGCGGCAUCGGUGAGGCUGGGACCCCCUUCUCAAGCUGGUGACCUCUGCAGGCCUAGGUGCAGCUCCUCAGCGGCUCCAGCUCACACGCUGACAGCUCUUCACAGUCGUGGACUCCUGCCACCAGCAUCCACACUGCUGGCAGGAUGCAGCUCCGUGUCUUCUCUGUGUCCCUGCUGCUGCCAGGGCUUCCUCUUCCAGGCAGAAACAAUAAAACCACUUGUGCCUGUAAA